GUCCUUCUGAUUAGUUAGUAGGUCUGACCUGCCCAGUGAUUUAUUUUAACGGCCGCAGUAUUUUGACUGUGCAAAGGUAGCAUAAUCAUUAGUCCUUUAAUAGGGGGCUGGUAUGAAAGGUUUGACGAAGUAUUAUCUGUCUCAUUUUAAUAUAGUAAAAUUUAUCUUUUAAGUCAAAAGACUUAGAUUUUGUUGGAAGACGAGAAGACCCUAUAGAGCUUUAUAGAUUGCCUUUUAAUUUUUUUUGUUUAAAAAUUCUUUUUAAUUUAGUUAUUUAUUUUAUUGGGGUGAUAAAGGAUAUAAUAUAAACUUCCAUUAUUUAUUGAGCAUUAAUUUAUGUUUUUAAAGAUCCAUUAUUAUUGAUUAUUAGAUUAAGUUACCUUAGGGAUAACAGCGUAAUCUUUCUUGGGAGUUCUCAUUUGCAGGAAGGCUUGCGACCUCGAUGUUGGAUUAAGAUUAUGAUUAGGUGUAGUUGCUUAGUUAAUAGGUCUGUUCGACCUUUAAAUUCUUACAUGAUCUGAGUUCAGACCGG
rnacentral:rRNA from 1 species